GGGUUGUGAGGUUAAGCGACUAAGCGUACACGGUGGAUGCCCUGGCAGUCAGAGGCGAUGAAGGACGUGCUAAUCUGCGAAAAGCGUCGGUAAGGUGAUAUGAACCGUUAUAACCGGCGAUGUCCGAAUGGGGAAACCCAGUGCAAUUCGUUGCACUAUCGUUAACUGAAUACAUAGGUUAACGAGGCGAACCGGGGGAACUGAAACAUCUAAGUACCCCGAGGAAAAGAAAUCAACCGAGAUUCCCCCAGUAGCGGCGAGCGAACGGGGAGCAGCCCAGAGUCUGAAUCAGCUUGUGUGUUAGUGGAACGGUCUGGAAAGUCCGACGGUACAGGGUGAUAGUCCCGUACACCAAAAUGCACAGGUUGUGAACUCGAAGAGUAGGGCGGGACACGUGGUAUCCUGUCUGAAUAUGGGGGGACCAUCCUCCAAGGCUAAAUACUCCUGACUGACCGAUAGUGAACCAGUACCGUGAGGGAAAGGCGAAAAGAACCCCGGCGAGGGGAGUGAAAAAGAACCUGAAACCGUGUACGUACAAGCAGUGGGAGCACCUUCGGGUGUGACUGCGUACCUUUUGUAUAAUGGGUCAGCGACUUAUAUUCUGUAGCAAGGUUAACCGUAUAGGGGAGCCGCAGGGAAACCGAGUCUUAACUGGGCGUUAAGUUGCAGGGUAUAGACCCGAAACCCGGUGAUCUAGCCAUGGGCAGGUUGAAGGUUGGGUAACACUAACUGGAGGACCGAACCGACUAAUGUUGAAAAAUUAGCGGAUGACUUGUGGCUGGGGGUGAAAGGCCAAUCAAACCGGGAGAUAGCUGGUUCUCCCCGAAAGCUAUUUAGGUAGCGCCUCGUGAAUUCAUCUUCGGGGGUAGAGCACUGUUUCGGCUAGGGGGUCAUCCCGACUUACCAACCCGAUGCAAACUACGAAUACCGAAGAAUGUUAUCACGGGAGACACACGGCGGGUGCUAACGUCCGUCGUGAAGAGGGAAACAACCCAGACCGCCAGCUAAGGUCCCAAAGUCAUGGUUAAGUGGGAAACGAUGUGGGAAGGCACAGACAGCCAGGAUGUUGGCUUAGAAGCAGCCAUCAUUUAAAGAAAGCGUAAUAGCUCACUGGUCGAGUCGGCCUGCGCGGAAGAUGUAACGGGGCUAAACCAUGCACCGAAGCUGCGGCAGCGACACUAUGUGUUGUUGGGUAGGGGAGCGUUCUGUAAGCCUGCGAAGGUGUGCUGUGAGGCAUGCUGGAGGUAUCAGAAGUGCGAAUGCUGACAUAAGUAACGAUAAAGCGGGUGAAAAGCCCGCUCGCCGGAAGACCAAGGGUUCCUGUCCAACGUUAAUCGGGGCAGGGUGAGUCGACCCCUAAGGCGAGGCCGAAAGGCGUAGUCGAUGGGAAACAGGUUAAUAUUCCUGUACUUGGUGUUACUGCGAAGGGGGGACGGAGAAGGCUAUGUUAGCCGGGCGACGGUUGUCCCGGUUUAAGCAUGUAGGCUGAUUGUCCAGGCAAAUCCGGAUAAUCAAGGCUGAGGUGUGAUGACGAGGCACUACGGUGCUGAAGUAACAAAUGCCCUGCUUCCAGGAAAAGCCUCUAAGCAUCAGGUAACAUCAAAUCGUACCCCAAACCGACACAGGUGGUCAGGUAGAGAAUACCAAGGCGCUUGAGAGAACUCGGGUGAAGGAACUAGGCAAAAUGGUGCCGUAACUUCGGGAGAAGGCACGCUGGUGUGUAGGUGAAGUCCCUGCGGAUGGAGCUGAGACCAGUCGAAGAUACCAGCUGGCUGCAACUGUUUAUUAAAAACACAGCACUGUGCAAACACGAAAGUGGACGUAUACGGUGUGACGCCUGCCCGGUGCCGGAAGGUUAAUUGAUGGGGUUAUCCGUAAGGAGAAGCUCUUGAUCGAAGCCCCGGUAAACGGCGGCCGUAACUAUAACGGUCCUAAGGUAGCGAAAUUCCUUGUCGGGUAAGUUCCGACCUGCACGAAUGGCGUAAUGAUGGCCAGGCUGUCUCCACCCGAGACUCAGUGAAAUUGAACUCGCUGUGAAGAUGCAGUGUACCCGCGGCAAGACGGAAAGACCCCGUGAACCUUUACUAUAGCUUGACACUGAACAUUGAGCCUUGAUGUGUAGGAUAGGUGGGAGGCUUUGAAGCGUGGACGCCAGUCUGCGUGGAGCCAACCUUGAAAUACCACCCUUUAAUGUUUGAUGUUCUAACGUUGGCCCCUUACCGGGGUUGCGGACAGUGUCUGGUGGGUAGUUUGACUGGGGCGGUCUCCUCCCAAAGCGUAACGGAGGAGCACGAAGGUUAGCUAAUCCUGGUCGGACAUCAGGAGGUUAGUGCAAUGGCAUAAGCUAGCUUGACUGCGAGCGUGACGGCGCGAGCAGGUGCGAAAGCAGGUCAUAGUGAUCCGGUGGUUCUGAAUGGAAGGGCCAUCGCUCAACGGAUAAAAGGUACUCCGGGGAUAACGGGCUGAUACCGCCCAAGAGUUCAUAUCGACGGCGGUGUUUGGCACCUCGAUGUCGGCUCAUCACAUCCUGGGGCUGAAGUAGGUCCCAAGGGUAUGGCUGUUCGCCAUUUAAAGUGGUACGCGAGCUGGGUUUAGAACGUCGUGAGACAGUUCGGUCCCUAUCUGCCGUGGGCGCUGGAGAAUUGAGGGGGGCUGCUCCUAGUACGAGAGGACCGGAGUGGACGCAUCACUGGUGUUCGGGUUGUCAUGCCAAUGGCACUGCCCGGUAGCUAAAUGCGGAAGAGAUAAGUGCUGAAAGCAUCUAAGCACGAAACUUGCCCCGAGAUGAGUUCUCCCUGAGACUUUAAGUCUCCUGAAGGAACGUUAAAGACGAUGACGUUGAUAGGCCGGGUGUGUAAGCGCAGCGAUGCGUUGAGCUAACCGGUACUAAUGAACCGUGAGGCUUAACCUUACAACGCCGAAG
rnacentral:rRNA from 1 species